rnacentral:lncRNA from 1 species
GGUCUAUAUUUUUUAUAUGGAUUGUAGAUCAAUCCAUAUGUGUAUGUGCUGGUCUCAUCCUUCACAAUUUAUAUUUUUGUGCAAAUGAACUUCUCCUUCUGACCAGUAACUACCUUCUUUCGUGCUCUGAACCUCUGACUCCUGAGGUCAAGGGCUGGAGGGUUUCUUCCUCCAGGUCUUGCAGCCAGGAGCAGGAGUGUGGGGCUCAGGAAAAAGUGCUAAGUGGCGGCAAAGUUUUUAUGUAUUAGAGAAGUUCUUAAAACUCAGAAAAAAAAUACUUUUUUUUAAUAAAGGAGAUAUUUUAAGAUCC